rnacentral:rRNA from 1 species
GAUGAACGCUGGCGGCGUGCCUAAUACAUGCAAGUCGAGCGAAUGGAUUAAGAGCUUGCUCUUAUGAAGUUAGCGGCGGACGGGUGAGUAACACGUGGGUAACCUGCCCAUAAGACUGGGAUAACUCCGGGAAACCGGGGCUAAUACCGGAUAACAUUUUGAACCGCAUGGUUCGAAAUUGAAAGGCGGCUUCGGCUGUCACUUAUGGAUGGACCCGCGUCGCAUUAGCUAGUUGGUGAGGUAACGGCUCACCAAGGCAACGAUGCGUAGCCGAGCUGAGAGGGUGAUCGGCCACACUGGGACUCAAACACGGCCCAGACUCCUACGGGAAGCAGCAGUAGGGAAUCUUCCGCAAUGGACGAAAGUCUGACGGAGCAACGCCGCGUGAGUGAUGAAGGCUUUCGGGUCGUAAAACUCUGUUGUUAGGGAAGAACAAGUGCUAGUUGAAUAAGCUGGCACCUUGACGGUACCUAACCAGAAAGCCACGGCUAACUACGUGCCAGCCGCCGCAGUAA